CGGGGUGCAGCAGGCGCGAAAACUUUACAAUGCACGAAAGUGUGAUAAGGGAAUCCUAAGUGCUCAUACACAGUAUGGGCUUUUGCCAAGGGUAAAUACCUUGGAGAAUAAGUGGUGGGUAAGACUGGUGCCAGCAGCCGCGGUAACCCCAGCGCCACAAGUGGGAGCCACAAUUAUUUGGCCUAAAGCGUCCGUAGCUGGCUUAGUAAAUCUUUUGUGAAAUCGGAAGGCUUAACCAUCCGGUGUGCCGGAGACACUGCUUUGCUUGAGACCGGGAGGGGUAAGGAGUAUUCCCAGGGAACCGGUAAAAUGGGAUAAUCCUGGGAGGACUUCCCGUGGCGAAGGUGCCUUACCAGAACGGGUCUGACAGUGAGGGACGAAGGCUAGGGGAGCGAACCGGAUUAGAUACCCGAGUAGUCCUAGCAGUUAACUCUGCGGGCUAGGUGUUGCACCAUCCAUGUGAUUCUGCAGAGUCGUAGCGAAGGCAAUAAACCCGCCGCCCUCGGAAGUACGGUCGCCAGCAUGAAACUUAAA
rnacentral:rRNA from 1 species